rnacentral:rRNA from 1 species
GUGCAGCAGUCGCGAAAACUCCGCAAUACACGAAAGUGUGACGGGGCUAUCCCGAGUGCCGUCCGCUGAGGAUGGCUUUUCCCCAGUGUAGACAGCUGGGGGAAUAAGGAGAGGGCAAGUCUGGUGUCAGCCGCCGCGGUAAUACCAGCUCUUCGAGUGGUAGGGAUGUUUAUUGGGCCUGAAGCAUCCGUAGCCGGCUGAGCAAGUUCUCUGUUAAAUCCAGCGAUUUAAUCGUUGGAUUGCGGGGAAUACUGUUCGGCUUGGGGGCGGGAGAGGCCGUCGGUAUUCUUGGGGUAGGGGUAAAAUCCUAUAAUCCCGGGAAGACCACCAGUGGCGUAGGCGGUCGGCUAGCACGCGCUCGACAGUGAGGGACGAAAGCUGGGGUAGCGAACCGGAUUAGAUACCCGGGUAGUCC